rnacentral:rRNA from 1 species
UACGUAGGGGGCAAGCGUUGUCCGGAUUUAUUGGGCGUAAAGAGCGUGUAGGCGGCUUUGCAAGUCCGUUGUGAAAACUCGAGGCUCAACCUCGAGACGCCGGUGGAAACUGCAAAGCUAGAGUCCGGAAGAGGAGAGUGGAAUUCCUGGUGUAGCGGUGAAAUGCGCAGAUAUCAGGAAGAACACCCGUGGCGAAGGCGGCUCUCUGGGACGGUACUGACGCUGAGACGCGAAAGCGUGGGGAGCGAACAGGG